rnacentral:rRNA from 1 species
UACGUAGGGGGCAAGCGUUGUCCGGAAUCAUUGGGCGUAAAGGGCGUGUAGGCGGCCCGAUAAGUCCGCUGUGAAAGUCCAGGGCUCAACCCUGGGAUGCCGGUGGAUACUGUCGGGCUCGAGUCCGGAAGAGGAGUGUGGAAUUCCUGGUGUAGCGGUGAAAUGCGCAGAUAUCAGGAGGAACACCAAUGGCGAAGGCGAUCAUCUGGGGCUGUUCUGACGCUGAGGAGCGAAAGCUAGGGGAGCAAACGGG